rnacentral:rRNA from 1 species
UACGAAGGGGGCUAGCGUUGCUCGGAAUCACUGGGCGUAAAGCGCACGUAGGCGGAUCUUUAAGUCAGGGGUGAAAUCCCAAGGCUCAACCUUGGAACUGCCUUUGAUACUGGGGAUCUCGAGUCCGGAAGAGGUGAGUGGAACUGCGAGUGUAGAGGUGAAAUUCGUAGAUAUUCGGAAGAACACCAGUGGCGAAGGCGGCUCACUGGCCCGGUACUGACGCUGAGGUGCGAAAGCGUGGGGAGCAAACAGG